rnacentral:rRNA from 1 species
GAUGAACGCUGGCGGCGUGCCUAAUACAUGCAAGUCGAGCGAACAGAUAAGGAGCUUGCUCCUUUGACGUUAGCGGCGGACGGGUGAGUAACACGUGGGUAACCUACCUAUAAGACUGGGAUAACUUCGGGAAACCGGAGCUAAUACCGGAUAACAUUUGGAACCGCAUGGUUCUAAAGUGAAAGAUGGUUUUGCUAUCACUUAUAGAUGGACCCGCGCCGUAUUAGCUAGUUGGUAAGGUAACGGCUUACCAAGGCGACGAUACGUAGCCGACCUGAGAGGGUGAUCGGCCACACUGGAACUGAGACACGGUCCAGACUCCUACGGGAGGCAGCAGUAGGGAAUCUUCGGCAAUGGGCGAAAGCCUGACGGAGCAACGCCGCGUGAGUGAUGAAGGGUUUCGGCUCGUAAAACUCUGUUAUUAGGGAAGAACAAACGUGUAAGUAACUGUGCACGUCUUGACGGUACCUAAUCAGAAAGCCACGGCUAACUACGUG